UACGUAGGUGGCAAGCGUUGUCCGGAAUUAUUGAGCGUAAAGCGCGCGCAGGCGGUCCUUUAAGUCUGAUGUGAAAGCCCACGGCUCAACCGUGGAGGGUCAUUGGAAACUGGGGGACUUGAGUACAGAAGAGGAAAGCGGAAUUCCACGUGUAGCGGUGAAAUGCGUAGAGAUGUGGAGGAACACCAGUGGCGAAGGCGGCUUUCUGGUCUGUAACUGACGCUGAGGCGCGAAAGCGUGGGGAGCAAACAGG
rnacentral:rRNA from 1 species